rnacentral:rRNA from 1 species
CCUACGGGAGGCAGCAGUGGGGAAUAUUGGACAAUGGGGGGAACCCUGAUCCAGCGACGCCGCGUGAGUGAAGAAGUAUUUCGGUAUGUAAAGCUCUAUCAGCAGGGAAGAAAGAAAUGACGGUACCUGACUAAGAAGCCCCGGCUAACUACGUGCCAGCAGCCGCGGUACUACGUAGGGGGCAAGCGUUAUCCGGAUUUACUGGGUGUAAAGGGAGCGUAGACGGCGAUGCAAGUCUGAAGUGAAAGGCGGGGGCCCAACCCCCGGACUGCUUUGGAAACUGUAUGGCUGGAGUGCAGGAGAGGUAAGUGGAAUUCCUAGUGUAGCGGUGAAAUGCGUAGAUAUUAGGAGGAACACCAGUGGCGAAGGCGGCUUACUGGACUGCAACUGACGUUGAGGCCCGAAAGCGUGGGGAGCAAACAGGAUUAGAUACCCUUGUAGUC